rnacentral:rRNA from 1 species
AUACGUAGGGUGCAAGCGUUAAUCGGAAUUACUGGGCGUAAAGCGUGCGCAGGCGGUUUUGUAAGACAGUGGUGAAAUCCCCGGGCUCAACCUGGGACCUGCCUUUGUGACUGCCAGGCUAGAGUCAGGCAGCGGGGGAUGGAAUUCCGCGCGUAGCAGGGAAAUGCGUAGAUAUGCGGAGGAACACCGAUGGCGAAGGCAAUCCCCUGGGCCUGUACUGACGCUCAUGCACGAAAGCGUGGGGAGCAAACAGGAUUAGAUACCCUGGUAGUCCACGCCCUAAACGAUGUCAACUGGUUGUUGGGUCUUCAUUGACUCAGUAACGAAGCUAACGCGUGAAGUUGACCGCCUGGGGAGUACGGCCGCAAGGUAGAAACUCAAAUGAAUUGACGGGG